rnacentral:rRNA from 1 species
CCUACGGGUGGCAGCAGUGAGGAAUAUUGGACAAUGGGGGAAACUCUGACCCAGCGAUGCCGCGUGAGGGAAGAAGGUUUUCGGAUUGUAAACCUCUGUGGAGGGGGACGAUAAUGACGGUACCCCUCUAGGAAGCCACGGCUAACUCCGUGCCAGCAGCCGCGGUAAUAUGUAGGUGGCGAGCGUUGUCCGGAAUUACUGGGUGUAAAGGGAGUGUAGGCGGGGAAGUAAGUCAGAGGUGAAAACUAUGGGCUUAACCCAUAGCCUGCUUUUGAAACUGUUUUUCUUGAGUGAAGUAGAGGUAAGCGGAAUGCCUGGUGUAGCGGUGAAAUGCGUAGAUAUUAGGAAGAACACCAGUGGCGAAGGCGGCUUACUGGGCUUUUACUGACGCUGAGGCUCGAAAGCGUGGGGAGCAAACAGGAUUAGAUACCCCAGUAGUC